rnacentral:rRNA from 1 species
CAGUCGCCACGGUAAUACGUAGGGUGCAAGCGUUAAUCGGAAUUACUGGGCGUAAAGCGUGCGCAGGCGGUCUGUCAAGUCGGAUGUGAAAUCCCCGGGCUCAACCUGGGAACUGCAUUCGAAACUGGCAGGCUAGAGUCUUGUAGAGGGGGGUAGAAUUCCAGGUGUAGCGGUGAAAUGCGUAGAGAUCUGGAGGAAUACAGGUGGCGAAGGCGGCCCCCUGGACAAAGACUGACGCUCAGGUGCGAAAGCGUGGGGAGCAAACAGGAUUAGAUACCCGGGUAGUCCCUGUCUCUUAUAU